rnacentral:ncRNA from 13 species
GGCGGGAUAGCUCAGCUGGUUAGAGCGCUCGGCUCAUACCCGGGAGGUCAAGAGUUCAAGUCUCUUUCUCGCUA